UACGUAGGUGGCGAGCGUUGUCCGGAUUUAUUGGGCGUAAAGGGCGCGUAGGCGGCUCGGCACGUCCGUUGUGAAAUCGCCCGGCUCAACUGGGCGGGGUCAGCGGAUACGGCCGAGCUUGAGCAAGCUAGGGGGCAAUGGAAUUCCCGGUGUAGUGGUGGAAUGCGUAGAUAUCGGGGAGGAACACCUGUGGCGAAAGCGGCUCACUGGACCACAACUGACGCUGAUGCGCGAAAGCUAGGGGAGCAAACAGG
rnacentral:rRNA from 1 species